CUCUAUAUUUCUCUUUAUCUCUUUUUACUAUAUCCUAUCUUUUUAUUUAAUGAUAGUAUAAUAUACUUUUAUAUUUCCUUAAUACAUGAAACAUGGUAAAAUAUCAUAAAAAUGAAUUAACCAGAUGCAUAAAUAGAAUUGCAUGUUGAUCCUGGUAGCCCUAUUCUGUUUAAAGGAUCACCUGAGAUCUGUAGUUAAAUGAUCAAUCUGAAUAGUUAAUGUUAAUGCCAUGAUAUAUUUGUGAGUUUCUAUUUGUCCUGGUAACUCUAAAUCUAUUUUUUACUUUUCUUAUAUGCUUCAAUGAGGUCUGUGUCAUCCAUGAAUAUUUUUCUACAAUUAUAAUCUAUAAAUUCUUAGAAAUUUUGUUAUGGAUUUGUAUGUAGUUAGUGCUUGCUAUUUUAUUGAAAUUGUAUAAUGUUACUUUUAAUUUUUUCCUUCAACUUGCAUCUCUGUGGCCAAACUGAUUUUCUAUUAACAUUAAUUUUGUGUUACAGUUGAUUGCUACUGUUGCUUUUUUCUUGCUGCAAAGUCAGAGGAAGCUCCACGCCCUUUGAAUAACGUAUUGAGAGCGUCCAGUGAAAUUCUAAAUCCUAUUAGUAUCUGUUGUUACGCGGAGUAUCUGGCAUUCUAAUGUAACGCCGAAUUGGUUAACCAAGUGCAUUUGAUUGAGUGGUAUUACAGAUUAACUGCAUUUGAUUCUUUUAGAAAUUUGGUAAAAAGAAAAGCCCAUGGGCUGGCCCUGACCCAUAGGGCUUUGAGGCUUUUUAGCCCUGUGGGCUUUUUCAAUAAAAUAUUUUUUGGCCCUGUGGGCUUUUUUGGCCCCAACCCACAUGGGUUAGGGCCAGGACCUAUUAAAUGGGCUAGUUUGACAGCUCUACUCACAGCACCAUCAAUUCGAAACCAGCCACCGCGCCACCACCUACUCCAGUCUCGUCGUCGCCGACGACGCCACACCCCCGUAGUCACCGCCGGCCAUGGCGUCAAUCCCCUUCUCUCCUCUUGCUUCGAAGAGAUAACGAUCUUGCCCCUCCGCAGUGCGUCUUAACCGUUGCCGGUGAAGGCACUUGCUGCUGCCGCCACGAGUCAUCGUCACAGGAAACCCUAGUCGGACCACCGCCAAGCGCAACCACUACUUACCAUCAGGACCAUCAACGACCACAGCUCCAAGCUCAGCUUCUCUUCCCUCUUCGCGUGAGAGAGAUAGCUCUCCCUUUUGAGCUCGAAGCCACCACCACCGGCGGAACUGUUCGCCGUCACCUCCACCGAACAGGCUGCCAUUCACCGCCUGACGCAGCGCCAACCAUGGAUCGGAUUCUACCUCCGCCUAACCUUCCUUGCCGUGACUCUCACACGCUAGAGAUUCUUAUUUCAUUUCUAAGGUUUUUCCUUUUCUUCCAAACCCUUCUUUCUUCACUUCCUUUCACUUACACUAUCACUCUCAGUCUCCUUCACUUGACCAUGACAAUGUUCGGGACCUGGUCUCCCAAUUUCGUAGCAUGUUUCAUAUGCGUCCUGUUCCUCCCAUCUACCAAUUUGAGAAGAUUUUGGGAUCUCUUACAAGGAUGAAACACUAUUCUACAACUAUUUCCCUUUUUAAGGAAAUGGAACUCAAGGGAAUUCAGAGUAAUCUUGUCAUUUUCAGCAUCGUCAUCAAUUGUUUCUGUCAUUUACAUCAAAUGACCUUUGCCUUCUCUGUUCUUGCCAAAAUUCUCAAACUUGGUUAUCAUCCCGAUGUCGUAACCUUAAGUACCCUCAUUAAAGGUCUUUGUCUUAAUAAUGAAGUCACAAAAGCUGCUGCUAUCAAGUUGCUCAGAAUAAUAGAACACGGAUUAUGUAAGUCUAUUGUGGCAAUGUACUGUGUAAUUGACUCUUUAUUCAAAGAUAAUCUUGUAGAAGAGGUUUAUGAUAUGGUUAUUAAAGUGAUGUCAAACAACAUCAUGCCUGAUGUUUAUAUAUAUACUGUAAUGAUCGAUGUUUUAUGUAAGAAAAAAAAAUAAAAGAAGUGUCUAUAUGAUAGUUUUUGCAUCAUUGUCUUAAAUACUUCAAAUGUCUUGUCUAUAUGAUAAUUUUUGCAAAACGUUUGUAUCAAGAUGUAAAGUGCUAAACACAUGUUCCUCUUGUGCAUUUUCUCAAAGAGAUUCAUGGUCUCAUCCACUCUUUCACUCUUACAUAAUCUAUUAAUCAUGAUAUUGUUGCUGUAAACAUUAGGAGUUAUUCCAAUUUGGGUCAUAGCAUUAAAUACGUGUUUAGCCCUUUGCACCUUGUUAACUAAAAUAUAGCCAUCCAUCAAAGUGCAUAUAUCAUUGUUACCUUUAGCACUUUGAUGGAUGGGUAUAUUUUAGUUAACAAGGUGCAAAGUGCUAAACACAUUUAAUGCUAUGACCCAAAUUGGAAUAAUUCCUAAUGUUUACAGCAAUAAUAUCAUGAUUAAUGGAUUAUGUAAGAGUGAAAGAGUGGAUGAGGCCAUGAAUCUCUUUCAGAAUAUGCAGAAGAGAAACAUGUGUUUAGCACUUUAUACCUUGAUAUAGGCUUUUUGCAAAAACUAUCAUAUAGACAAAGCAUUUGAAGUAUUCAAGACAGUGAUGCCAAAACUAUCAUAUAAACACUUCUUUUAUCUUUCUUUCCUUACAUAAAGCAUCGAUGAUUACAAUUUAGAUAUAAACACCAGGCAUGAUGUUGUUUGAGAUCAUUUUAAUAAUCAUAUCAUAAGUCUCUUUUGCAAGAUAAUCUUUAAACAGAGAGUCAAUUAUAGUGGCAUAGAUUACCAAUUAGACUUACAUAGUCUACCUUCUAUUAUAGUGGCUCCAAAAUUCGCUCUUAAGGCUCGACAGCUAUGAUGACUUGGGCACAAGCCCAAUUUCCUUAGUCUAGUAUUUCUUUUACUUGUAUUAGAGAUGUGUACAAUGUGUUAGGCAUGUGGUACAUUUAGCCUUAUAUAUAGGCAUGCUAACACAUCUUGUAGGGACUUUUGAGAUAAUGAAUUAAUUUCCUGUUGAGAUUACUCCAGAAUUAAUUCCUUGAAAGUCAAGGCUGAAGAAUCCAAGGGAUUCCUCAACCACCUUCCACUCACGUACCAUUCUUUCAUUCUCCAACAUCAGAUAUUUCUCUCUCCUCCACCUAAACACCACUCAACUUCAGCCGCAUGGCUCAAUCAGCGUCAGCCCUUAUUUCCUACGCUGCAUUUUCAUUCUCACACACCACGGAACCAUUCUCUCACCUUUCUCUGCUUGGAAGCUAGGGUUUCUUCACAGACCAAUGUCUUCCACCACAGAUUCCCAUCCUAUCCACCGGUAAAUUUGUUUUUCCUUCCUAGAUCCACCUUCUCAUCAUCAUCUCCUUCACUUUAACCGAACGUUUUCCUCGGUUUCCUUCACUUUCACCGAACCAAACUCCAUUUUCGUUCCAGUCUUCGGUUCAGUCGGUGAAACCUUCUUUUUCACCGAUUAAAACACUUCAGAUCCCUAAACUUAGCACUUAUACCGAACAAACCACCCUAAACCCUAGGUUCUCCGUUUCCGGUCUUCCGCUGCGUCUAAGGUCCGGUUCGCCAGUCGAUCCGUGCCAGUUUCUUCGGCUCGUCACCGAUCUGCCUGAUUUGAAGAAUAUUAAUCAAAUACUUAUUGGAUUUGAUGAGCAUUGCUUUGCUGAUCAGAGAUUGUAUGUGAUGUAUAAAAUUCUUCAAAUUGAGCUGACGGCUAAUGAUAUAAUAAUUAAGUUGACAGGGGAAGCUCAAAUUUUUGAACGCUGAACGAUGUUCAUUUCUUCUUUAUUUUUAGUGAAUCCUUAAAUUUUGAUGAGCUUCAUAGUUUUUUGAAUCCAUCAAGCAUUUCAAUUUCUCAUAAUUCCUUGUCAUCAAACCCAUCUUCACUAGCAGAGCAAUCAGCAUAUCUGACGUGUGAAAAUGUUAAACUGGUAUAUCAUUUCUUCUUUAUUUUCAGUGAAUCACUUCUGUAGCUUUGUCACCAGUUACAUACUUUCUACUGCUCGGUAAUGAUCAAUUGUUCAUGUAGGAACCAUUACAUGCUUGCCCAGCUAUAUCAAUAAUUAUAAUUGGAGAGAAUCAUUGACGGGGCCUUUACCGAAAAGUAAUGGAUAUUGAAACCAAACUUUCUUUGUGUAGGUGCUGCCCCAUUUGUAGAUAGAAGUGAUAUAACUGCUCUUAUAAUGGGACUUGAUACUUAAUUUUUGUUUAUUCCCUUCUGUUAUAUUUGUCUUCCAUCACUUUAUUAUUAACAUGGAGAGUUUGAAACAGCAAUGCCACCUUAGUGACUGAGUUUUUCUUCAUUGAUGCAAUUUUCCAACAAACACCGUGUGCUUUUGAUUGGAACUCCUCUCCAGAAUUUGUAUGACUGGAUAGGUUAUUCUGAUUACAUGUCGAGUAUGUUGAAAGGUAGGGGAGCUAUCCUUGUACUUGUAUUUUUGUGAUGUUAUGAUCAUACGAUACAUUAGAAUAAUCGAAUGGUUACAAAGAGAUCUAUCCUUAAAAAUGUAUGGUUUGAAUGGAUGAUUUUGCAUUUAUAGUCAAUAUGAAUGGAUGGAAUGGAUAUAAAUAUUUGUUGUGAAAUGAUGAACUCUAAUUACUCUAUACCGAGAUUGAUGAUAUUGAGACAUGUCUAAUAGCUGCAUGUGAAGGACAUGAGUAUACUCAAGUCCAAAGCUGCGUGUGGAGAUGACUAUUUUAGUUUAUUUUAGUUAAAUGCAGUUUUAGUUUAUUUUACUUUA